UUUCGUAUUCUCCUCUCUCUCUAAUGCGGCUCUCUUCUUAUCUUCUGCAAAGUUCUUUCUGAGAGGGAAAAAAAAAACUCUUUUACUUCUCUUCUCUUACGCUGCAACUUCAUCUCUAAAGAAUUAACUAAAGUCAUGUACUUUAACCUUAAUUCUUCAUCUUUAAACCAGAUCUGUAAUUAUUUUUUUUUGGGCUUUUUGAUUGCAAGAUAAAUUUGUUGAGGUUUUUCUCCAUCUUUACAACAAAUAUGGUGAAACUCCUUCUCCAUCUCUACAGCAAAAUGGGGGCUUACAAGUACGUUUCUUGAGUUAUGGAGGAAGAAACAAUCCAAUGCGAUGAGGUUUUUGCUGAGGGUGAGGUGCUGGAAGUAUCGCCAACAUCCUUCGGUUUGCAGUGUUAUCCGUACUGAUAAGGCUAGACGUUUGGGUUACAAGGCCAAGUAGGUUCUCGAUGAUUCCUUCUUUAAAUAUGAGAGCAAGCCUAAGCUUACUAGUCAUGGUGAGCUCUAUCAUGAAGGGGAAAUGUUUGAGGUGGCGAAGUGAGAAUUAGAUGCUGGUUGAGACAAGCUCUUCAGAUGAUUUUUCAACAAAUGCGAUUGGCAGUAGCAAUCAUGGAGACAAAAUUAGAUGAAUGAACCUGAUUAUACUCAAGAGAUUGUACGUGAUGUUGAUGGAAUAUGGAAUAACAUGAAUGAACCAACUAUAUUCGAGUGCAGACCAUUACAAGGUCAAAAUUGGGUGUUCUUAAGGAUUCUGAUGUUGGAUUUUGGAUUUGUUGUUCUUGUCAAUAAGGAAAUCAGGAACUAUUGGUGGUGCUAAAUACGUGUUUUGAAGAAAUUGCUGGUGGUGAUGGUAGUGAUAUCUUUCUGUCAGAGAUAAUGGGUUGAAGAUAAGACGGAGCCCAUUUUCUACUUUGACGUCUCGAUCUGAAGCACUUCGUCCCCUAUGUAGUAAAGGAGUUUGAAACUCUGCAUAUAAAUGUACUUCAGACCUAGCAUUGUAAGUGGUGGUGAUAGUUGGGCAUGUGCGUGAAAGGUGGGGAUAAGGAAGUGGGGUGAUAGAUGAUUCCCAACUAUCCUUGUACAGGAAGAGAAGAACAUCAACUGUCUUAUAAGUUUUGUUUUCACAUAUGUUGAGGAAGAUAAUUGGAAGAUCCAUGUCUUAGAGAGUAUUGAGGUUGACAAACUACUAGAUUGUCUAGAAAUUUUUUCGGCUUUUUAAGAUGCAUGAAUAGAGCUUGGGUUGGUCUUGCAGAAACUCUUGAAGGUAGCAUCAUGGUUAUCACUGAGUCCAAUGGAUCAAAGCUUAUCGGAUUUGUGACUCCAAGAAGAGAGCAUCCUAAUCCAUGUAAGCUUGAUGGUGCAAUUGAUCCUGUGAUCAUAAGGGGUAGCUAUGAACCAAAUGAAGAAGUUGGUGAGUUAGACAAGAUGAUUCCAGCUUAUACGAGGUAUAGUUUCAUAUACUCUGAUUCUAUAUAUGGUUUUAUGAUUUAAUUGCUUUGCUUUGUAUUUGGGUGUCAUGGUUAUUUAGUAGCCACUAGCCACUAUAAGUGAAAGAUGAGGCUGCUGGGAUUUGUGAUACCUUUUAUUCUCAGAUGACCUGUUUUUGGUUUGCUUAGUUCACACUAGUGGAAAAGGGGGUUUUAUGGACCCACAUCAGAGACCCUCACUACCGGUCAACGUCCUGUUGACCAUUGAAGACCGUCUCUGAUACGGUAAAUUUUUGGAGCAUAUCGGAGCCUUAGAAACCGUCGUUCAAUUAAUUUUUUAAUUCCAUUCAUAUCCUAAUUUAGAAACCCACACCGAGACUGCUACACGUGGUUGAUUCAGUGAUAUUUUCCAAGGCGGGAAGCCUCACUCGGUUCCCUCCAUUUCUAUAAACCUCGUUAUUAACGAUGGUAUUUAUCUCGUUCAUAUCGUCCCUCUCUCUCUAAUAGUUCAUUUGCAGAGAAAAAAACCAGACACCAUUAAAAUUUCUCCUCCUCUCCCAGAACUCCACCAUUAAAACUAAUUAAGCCUUUGUAUCACAAAAUCUUUACUAAGAUUAACCUGUUACAGCUCUCAAUUGUGCAGCAGUUAGGUUUAAUUCUCAAAAGCAUCAGGUAAAUCUCAAUAGCGAUCUAGUUGUAAUUCUUCAACAGGUACAUCUCAACAGCUUUGCAGUUCAGAUUCUCAUCAGAAAAUUGUAAGCGAAAUCCAAGAUGGGCAGCGAUGAAUACUAUCUAAGAACAGAUUUGUGCGAGUAUAUCAUCCGGAAGUAUCUCGUUUAGCUGUUGUCUUUAUGAACCUUGAAACAUAGAUAGACUUGUAUGAAUUCAGAUUUGAUUACUUUUUUAUUUAUGUGAUUUUGAACCUAUGUGUAAACUGAAUUUAGUUAAGAAUUGUGUAACCAAUACAAUAAUUUUAUUUA